ensembl:miRNA
CAAAGUGCUUACAGUGCAGGUAGUCUUCUAAUAUCUACUGCAGUGAAGGCACUUUAAGCA